GAUGAACGCUGACAGAAUGCUUAACACAUGCAAGUCAACUGUGGCGGACGGGCGAGUAACGCGUAAAGAACUUGCCUCACGGAUAGGGACAACAUUUGGAAACGAAUGCUAAUACCUGAUACUGUGAGAGGGCUUUGCGUCCCAUUAGCUAGUUGGAGAGGUAACGGCUCACCAAGGCGAUGAUGGGUAGCCGGCCUGAGAGGGUGAUCGGCCACAAGGGGACUGAGAAACGGCCCUUACGCCUACGGGAGGCAGCAGUGGGGAAUAGUGGCCAAUGGACCACAGUCUGAUCAAGCAAUUCGGUGUGCACGAUGAAGUUUUCGGAAUGUAAAGUGCUUUGAGUUGGGAAGCGGUACCAACAGAAGAAGUGACGGCUAAAUACGUGCCAGCAGCCGCGGUAAUAC
rnacentral:rRNA from 1 species